rnacentral:rRNA from 1 species
AGUGAACGCUGGCGGUAGGCCUAACACAUGCAAGUCGAACGGCAGCACAGGAGAGCUUGCUCUCUGGGUGGCGAGUGGCGGACGGGUGAGGAAUACAUCGGAAUCUACUCUGUCGUGGGGGAUAACGUAGGGAAACUUACGCUAAUACCGCAUACGACCUACGGGUGAAAGCAGGGGACCUUCGGGCCUUGCGCGAUUGAAUGAGCCGAUGUCGGAUUAGCUAGUUGGCGGGGUAAAGGCCCACCAAGGCGACGAUCCGUAGCUGGUCUGAGAGGAAGAGCAGCCACACUGGAACUGAGAGACGGUCCAGACUCCGACGGGAGGCAGCAGUGGGGAAUAUUGGACAAUGGGCGCAAGCCUGAUCCGGCCAUACCGCGUGGGUGAAGAAGGCCUUCGGGUUGUAAAGCCCUUUUGUUGGGAAAGAAAUCCAGCUGGCUAAUACCCGGUUGGGAUGACGGUACCCAAAGAAUAAGCACCGGCUAACUUCGUGCCAGCCGCCGCCGUAA